GUCGAGGGGCGGCGGGGGAGUAGCAAUACUCCCGCCGGCGACCGGCGCACGGGUGAGUAACACGUAUGAAACCUGCCCGUAGCAGGGGGAUAAGCGGAAGAAAUUCCGUCUAAUACCGCGUAACAACCCAUGGAGGCAUCUCUGUGGGUCUAAAGGAAGCGAUUCCGGCUACGGAUGGUCAUGCGUCGCAUUAGCUUGUUGGCGGGGUAACGGCCCACCAAGGCGACGAUGCGUAGGGGUUCUGAGAGGAAGGUCCCCCACACUGGUACUGAGACACGGACCAGACUCCUACGGGAGGCAGCAGUGAGGAAUAUUGGUCAAUGGCCGCAGGGCUGAACCAGCCAAGUCGCGUGAGGGAUGACGGUCCUAUGGAUUGUAAACCUCUUUUGUCAGGGAGCAAAGGGCGCCACGUGUGGCGCUUUGCGAGUACCUGAAGAAAAAGCAUCGGCUAACUCCGUGCCAGCAGCCGCGGUAAUACGGAGGAUGCGAGCGUUAUCCGGAUUUAUUGGGUUUAAAGGGUGCGCAGGCGGAAUGUCAAGUCAGCGGUAAAAUUUCGGGGCUCAACCCCGUCGUGCCGUUGAAACUGGCGUUCUUGAGUGAGCGAGAAGUAUGCGGAAUGCGUGGUGUAGCGGUGAAAUGCAUAGAUAUCACGCAGAACUCCGAUUGCGAAGGCAGCAUACCGGCGCUCAACUGACGCUCAUGCACGAAAGCGUGGGUAUCGAACAGGAUUAGAUACCCUGGUAGUCCACGCAGUAAACGAUGAAUACUAACUGUCCGGGCAGAAUGAUGCCUGGGUGGUACAGCGAAAGCGUUAAGUAUUCCACCUGGGGAGUACGCCGGCAACGGUGAAACUCAAAGGAAUUGACGGGGGCCCGCACAAGCGGAGGAACAUGUGGUUUAAUUCGAUGAUACGCGAGGAACCUUACCCGGGC
rnacentral:rRNA from 1 species